UUCAUAUAUACUACAGUAUGGCCUGUAAAAUACUUUUGGUCGAACGAUGCUUGCCUACACACAYAYAYAYAYAYAYAUAURURUGUGUGUGUGGUGYGAUCCUCGUUCCAGAGAUAAUAACGAGAAUGAGAUAUUGCAACAUGUGCUUUGGGACCGCWUGCUAUUUCCCAUUGCACACGAAUGUCAUGACAAACUAACRUCGUUGUCACUGUGAAAUGUAUUUAGCGAGAAUUAUAAAUGCUUUUUCACAGGGCUAGUCYGACAACGGUACACAUACGCKCGUCUAUGUCAUUUGCAA
rnacentral:misc_RNA from 1 species